rnacentral:rRNA from 1 species
UAAGACGAACCGUGCAAACGUUGUUCGGAUUCACUGGGCUUAAAGGGCGCGUAGGCGGUUCGCCAAGUCGGGGGUGAAAUCUUUCGGCUCAACCGGAAAAGAGCCUUCGAUACUGGCGGGCUAGAGGGAGGUAGGGGUAGCGGGAACUUCCAGUGGAGCGGUGAAAUGCGUUGAUAUUGGAAGGAACGCCGGUGGCGAAAGCGCGUUACUGGACCUCUUCUGACGCUGAGGCGCGAAAGCUAGGGGAGCAAACGGGAUUAGAUACCCCGGUAGUCCUAGCCUUAAACGAUGAGAACUAGGUUGUGGACUUGACAUGGGUUCACAGCCGAAGCUAAAGUGCUAAGUUCUCCGCCUGGGGAGUAUGGUCGCAAGGCUG